rnacentral:rRNA from 1 species
UAACAAGGAUUCCCCUAGUAACUGCGAGUGAAGCGGGAAGAGCUCAAAUUUAAAAUCUGGCGGCUCUGYCGCCCGAGUUGUAGUCUGGAGAAGUGUUAUCCGCGUCGGACCGUGUACAAGUCUCCUGGAAUGGAGCGUCAUAGAGGGUGAGAAUCCCGUCCAUGACACGGACCUCCGAUGCUCUGUGAGGCACUCUCAAAGAGUCGAGUUGUUUGGGAAUGCAGCUCAAAAUGGGUGGUAAAUUCCAUCUAAAGCUAAAUAUUGGCGAGAGACCGAUAGCGAACAAGUACCGUGAGGGAAAGAUGAAAAGCACUUUGGAAAGAGAGUUAAACAGUACGUGAAAUUGUUGAAAGGGAAACGCUUGAAGUCAGUCGCGUCCCGUGGAACUCAGCCUGGUUUCGGCCUGGUGUACUUUCCUUGGGGGACGGGUCAACAUCAAUUUCGGCCGGUGGAAAAGGGCGAGGGGAAUGUAGCGUCGUCUCGGCGGCGUGUUAUAGCCCCCUGUCGUAUACAUUGGCCGGGAUUGAGGACCGCAGCACGCCCUUGUGGCCGGGGUUCGCCCACGUAACGUGCUUAGGAUGUUGGCAUAAUGGCUUUAAGCGACCCGUCUUGAAACACGGACCAAGGAGUCUAACAUGCUUGCGAGUGUUCGGGUGGAAAACCCUUGCGCGUAAUGAAAGUGAAAGUUGGGAGCCUCCGCAAGGGGGUGCACCGACGCCCGGCCCUGACGUUCUCUGACGGUGCUGCGGUAGAGCAGGUAUGUUGGGACCCGAAAGAUGGUGAACUAUGCCUGAAUAGGGCGAAGCCAGAGGAAACUCUGGUGGAGGCUCGUAGCGAUUCUGACGUGCAAAUCGAUCGUCAAAUUUGGG